UACGUAGGGUGCGAGCGUUAAUCGGAAUUACUGGGCGUAAAGCGUGCGCAGGCGGUUCGUUAAGUCAGAUGUGAAAGCCCCGGGCUCAACCUGGGAACUGCAUUUGAAACUGGCGGGCUUGAGUGCGGCAGAGGGGGGUGGAAUUCCGCGUGUAGCAGGGAAAUGCGUAGAGAUGCGGAGGAACACCGAUGGCGAAGGCAGCCCCCUGGGCCGACACUGACGCUCAGGCACGAAAGCGUGGGGAGCAAACAGG
rnacentral:rRNA from 1 species